GUUCCAGGAGGAGUGAGAAGCCUGUCAGCAUGCAAUUCAGAUCAGACUUGCAGUUAGCUUCACAAGUCUUCAAUUCAGUGUUGUGUUUGUCCUACCGUCUCGAUCAGAUCUGACAACCAUUUGCUAUAACAAGGCACAUCAGAAGUGAUAGAUAGAUACAAUAGCUUGGAGAACAUAUGGAGAACUUGAAUCGAAGAAGGGAUGGUUUAUGAUCACUCACCAAUCAUAAUCAUGCUUCCCAACAUCAGCAGACAAGAGAUCCUCACCUUUCUGAUGGUCAGAUCCAUGAUGUGAACUAGCUCUGUUCUGGUGUAUCCUCCAGAAGAGAUCCAGGCUUUCAUCUCCUUCCUUUGUUCCUCCUCCGCAGAACUGCUGCACGUUCCUCCCUCCCGUCGGUG